UAUGGUGACAUUAAAGGCACCGGCUCAGCAAGACCCCAUCUACACCUCCAUCGACAAAGGGAAACAGCCGCAGACCCUGGAGCCCGACCCCGGUGCUGAUGGACUCACCUACGCCGAGCUGGA